GACAUCAGAUCCCCCUCUGGAUGGAAAGAGCAGUGUACAUAUAUAAGGGAAAGAAAUGUAGGUAAAGGUAUUUGCUGAUGAACCACUAUACUUCACCCCCUUACUACAAAUACCUCAGACAUAACCUUGGCAUCUACCAGUUCCCCAGAGUUAGCAUCAAGCUGAAGACCCAAGUCUAAAGUUUCAUCAUCCAGUGAGGUAUGGAUGCAAAUGAAGACUGUGAGGCACAAUUCCUUGAAGAACAAGGUUUGGGGUUUUGAGAAGGAAGACCACAAAAGUGAAGUAUCUUUUCCAACACGGGGUGAAGGAUCCUGCUAUGGACAUAAUUUAUCACUGAUGCUGUCAGCUUGGCUCAGUCCACUAAAGCAAUAUUGCUCUUCUCCUUCUUUUCAUACUGAAGUCUUAAGGUACGGGAAGUUAUGCCUCAACUCGGUGAUGGCGAAGGCAGAGCAGUUUUGUCUUUUCAGAACAAGACAUAAAUGGAAGCACACAGCAUACAGUUCUAUCAAGCUGGCUUCUUUCAUUUUCAGCAAUCUGCCCUCAAGUCGCCUCCAUGUCGUCAAGGAGAUGGGUGGUCCAUUCCUCCUGAUUGCUAAACGCCUCUCCAGUGUGUGGAGCUUCCAAUUGAUUCAUUCGUU